CCGAAAUCUGCGCCGGAACUAUGACGCAUCCAACAUUUUGUCACAGCCAUGCUCUCCGCCACGGGCCGUGAACCCCUGAACGGUGGGUGUCAGCAGUAGCUAGUGGCAUCAGCUACUGCUGUAAACCCGUAGUUCAGGAGGUUGGGGUCCGUGGCGGUGAGCAUGGCUGUGACAAAAUGUUGGAUGCAUGUUGGUUCCGGCGCAGAUUUCGG
rnacentral:pre_miRNA from 1 species